rnacentral:rRNA from 1 species
UACGGAGGGUGCGAGCGUUGUCCGGAAUCACUGGGCGUAAAGGGCGCGUAGGCGGCGCGGAUGGUCGGCGGUGAAAGCCCGGAGCUCAACUCCGGGUCGGCCGUCGAUACUUCCGGGCUUGAGCACUGUAGAGGCAGAUGGAAUUCCGGGUGUAGCGGUGGAAUGCGUAGAGAUCCGGAAGAACACCGGUGGCGAAGGCGGUCUGCUGGGCAGUUGCUGACGCUGAUGCGCGACAGCGUGGGGAGCAAACAGG